AGGAUGAACGCUAGCGGCAGGCCUAAUACAUGCAAGUCGGACGGGAUUGGGGGCUUGCCCCCAUGAGAGUGGCGCACGGGUGCGUAACACGUAUGUAACCUACCUUUAUCUGGGGGGAUUGCCUCUCGAAAGAGAGAUUAACACCGCAUAAAAUCACAGUACGGCAUUGUACAAUGAUCAAAUAUUUAUAGGAUAGAGAUGGGCAUGCGGGACAUUAGCUAGUUGGCGGGGUAACGGCCCACCAAGGAUACGAUGUUUA
rnacentral:rRNA from 1 species